rnacentral:rRNA from 1 species
AUGAACGCUGGCGGCGUGCUUAACACAUGCCAGUCGAACGAUGAAGCCCAGCUUGCUGGGUGGAUUAGUGGCGAACGGGUGAGUAACACGUGAGUAACCUGCCCUUGACUCUGGGAUAAGCCUGGGAAUCUGGGUCUAAUACUGGAUAUGACUUCUCAUCGCAUGGUGGGGGGUGGAAAGAGUUAUUGGUCUUGGAUGGACUCGCGGCCUAUCAGCUUGUUGGUGAGGUAAUGGCUCACCAAGGCGACGACGGGUAGCCGGCCUGAGAGGGUGACCGGCCACACUGGGACUGAGACACGGCCCAGACUCCUACGGGAGGCAGCAGUGGGGAAUAUUGCACAAUGGGCGCAAGCCUGAUGCAGCGACGCCGCGUGAGGGAUGACGGCCUUCGGGUUGUAAACCUCUUUCAGUAGGGAAGAAGCGAGAGUGACGGUACCUGCAGAAGAAGCGCCGGCUAACUACGUG